rnacentral:rRNA from 1 species
ACGAACGCUGGCGGCGUGCUUAACCCAUGCAAGUCGAACGAUGAAGCCCAGCUUGCUGGGUGGAAGAGUGGCGAACGGGUGAGUAACACGUGAGUAACCUGCCCUGAACUCUGGGAUAAGCACUGGAAACGGUGUCUAAUACUGGAUACGACCUAUCACCGCAUGGUGUGUGGGGGGAAAGAUUUAUCGGUUCUGGAUGGACUCGCGGCCUAUCAGCUAGAUGGUGAGGUAAUGGCUCACCACGGCGACGACGGGUAGCCGGCCUGAGAGGGUGACCGGCCACACUGGGACUGAGACACGGCCCAGACUCCUACGGGAGGCAGCAGUGGGGAAUAUUGCACAAUGGGCGCAAGCCUGAUGCAGCAACGCCGCGUGAGGGAUGACGGCCUUCGGGUUGUAAACCUCUUUUAGUAGGGAAGAAGCGAAAGUGACGGUACCUGCAGAAAAAGCACCGGCUAACUACGUG